rnacentral:rRNA from 1 species
AGGACGAACGCUGGCGGCGUGCUUAACACAUGCAAGUCGAGCGGAAAGGCCCUUCGGGGUACUCGAGCGGCGAACGGGUGAGUAACACGUGAGCAACCUGCCCUUAGCUCCGGGAUAGCUCCGGGAAACCGGAAUUAAUACCGGAUACGACCACGGCCGACAUCUGCUGUGGUGGAAAGGAUUCCGGCUAAGGAUGGGCUCGCGGCCUAUCAGCUAGUUGGUGGAGUAACGGCCCACCAAGGCGACGACGGGUAGCCGGCCUGAGAGGGCGACCGGCCACACUGGGACUGAGACACGGCCCAGACUCCUACGGGAGGCAGCAGUGGGGAAUAUUGCGCAAUGGGCGAAAGCCUGACGCAGCGACGCCGCGUGGGGGAUGAAGCUUCUCGGAGUGUAAACCCCUUUCGACCCGGAAGAAUGCCCGCAAGGGUAUGACGGUACGGGUAUAAGAAGCCCCGGCUAACUACGCGCCAGCAGCCGC